rnacentral:misc_RNA from 1 species
AAAGUCGUAACAAGGUCUCCGUUGGUGAACCAGCGGAGGGAUCAUUAGAGAGUUGCAAGACUCCCACACCAUUGCGAACGCACCCCCCGUCCUUGUCGUUGCCUCGGCGGGGGUGGCCCCCCGCGGGCCGCCUCCGCCGCCGGCACGAGAACCUCUGUUUUUUUGUGGCCUCUCUGAGUACCAUACACAAAUAAGUCAAAACUUUCAACAACGGAUCUCUUGGUUCUG